rnacentral:rRNA from 1 species
ACGAACGCUGGCGGCACGCUUAACACAUGCAAGUCGAACGAGAGAAGAGAAGCUUGCUUUUCUGAUCUAGUGGCGGACGGGUGAGUAACACGUGAGCAAUCUGCCUUUCAGAGGGGGAUACCGAUUGGAAACGAUCGUUAAUACCGCAUAAUAUAAUUGAACCGCAUGAUUUGAUUAUCAAAGAUUUAUCGCUGAAAGAUGAGCUCGCGUCUGAUUAGCUAGUUGGUAAGGUAACGGCUUACCAAGGCGACGAUCAGUAGCCGGACUGAGAGGUUGAUCGGCCACAUUGGGACUGAGACACGGCCCAGACUCCUACGGGAGGCAGCAGUGGGGAAUAUUGCACAAUGGAGGAAACUCUGAUGCAGCGAUGCCGCGUGAGGGAAGAAGGUUUUAGGAUUGUAAACCUCUGUCUUCAGGGACGAAAAAAGACGGUACCUGAGGAGGAAGCUCCGGCUAACUACGUGCCAGCAGCCGCGGUAAUACGUAGGGAGCGAGCGUUGUCCGGAAUUACUGGGUGUAAAGGGAGCGUAGGCGGGAUCGCAAGUCAGAUGUGAAAACUAUGGGCUUAACCCAUAAACUGCAUUUGAAACUGUGGUUCUUGAGUGAAGUAGAGGUAAGCGGAAUUCCUAGUGUAGCGGUGAAAUGCGUAGAUAUUAGGAGGAACAUCAGUGGCGAAGGCGGCUUACUGGGCUUUAACUGACGCUGAGGCUCGAAAGCGUGGGGAGCAAACAGGAUUAGAUACCCUGGUAGUCCACGCCGUAAACGAUGAUUACUAGGUGUGGGGGGACUGACCCCUUCCGUGCCGCAGCAAACGCAAUAAGUAAUCCACCUGGGGAGUACGACCGCAAGGUUGAAACCCAAAGGAAUUGACGGGGGCCCGCACAAGCAGUGGAGUAUGUGGAUUAAUUCGAAGCAACGCGAAGAACCUUACCAGGUCUUGACAUCGUAUGCAUAGCUCAGAGAUGAGUGAAAUCUCUUCGGAGACAUAUAGACAGGUGGUGCAUGGUUGUCGUCAGCUCGUGUCGUGAGAUGUUGGGUUAAGUCCCGCAACGAGCGCAACCCUUACUGUUAGUUGCUACGCAAGAGCACUCUAGCAGGACUGCCGUUGACAAAACGGAGGAAGGUGGGGAUGACGUCAAAUCAUCAUGCCCCUUAUGACCUGGGCCUCACACGUACUACAAUGGCUGUUAACAGAGGGAUGCAAAGCCGCGAGGUGGAGCGAACCCCUAAAAGCAGUCUUAGUUCGGAUUGUAGGCUGCAACCCGCCUACAUGAAGUCGGAAUUGCUAGUAAUCGCAGAUCAGCAUGCUGCGGUGAAUACGUUCCCGGGCCUUGUACACACCGCCCGUCACGCCAUGGGAGUCGGUAACACCCGAAGCCUGUAGUCUAACCGCAAGGAGGACGCAGACGAAGGUGGGAUUGAUGACUGGGGUG